rnacentral:lncRNA from 1 species
AUUCAAACCAUAUUGUAGAAGCCCAAAUUCGCUGGGCCAGUAAAAAUAAAAACAAUGGCCCAAAACAAAAAUUAAAAAACCUAGCCCAACUAAACCCAAAACCAACAGCAAAAAGAUAGCAGAAAAAAAAAGAGAACCCUAGGUGCGCCGCACCUAGGGCCACCCUUAGGCCUGCCAUUGCCACUGCCUCUGUUCGUCGCCGCCGCACGCCUCCUCCACGCGUGUCUGACACCUGCAAGAGACCACAAAACAAAGCAACAACAAUAAUAAAUGGCAAAGGACAAGGAUUAGAAACAGAACGGUUUUUGUAAUUUGGCUAUAAAAAAGCCACAAUAUCUUUUUGUACAUUUUUACAAACACCCAUCAAUAAAUCGAAAAUCAGAAACUGAAGUUCCAAAAGGUUGUUCUUCUUUAAAAAAAUUGUUCUCUUCGUUCUCUUUUUUAUAGUUUUUGUUUUUUUUCUUUUCUUUUAUUUCAAAUCUAUUUAAAAGUAAUUAAAAAACAAAAAAGGGAAAAAAAAGAAGGUUACCUGAAUCGGCCCCUAGGCCCGCCGUCGAUGGUGAUUCACCGUUGCCGGAUGUGGGUUCAAGGAGGGGCCGAAGUUCUUCUCUUUCCCCUCGUCUCUUCGUUCCAUGGCCUCGUCCCAUGAGCGCAUUUCAAGGCGCCGAUAGGAGCCGUCUUCGCACGGCUCCGAUCACUGGACAACGGCGGCAUAGCGGCAGCGGGGGGUUUCCCUUUAUUUUUUAUUUUUUUCUUGCGUUCUGUAAAG